rnacentral:rRNA from 1 species
AGAGUUCAUGCCUGAAAGGGUAGACCUCCCACCCUUGUGUGUUGUUACUUUGUUGCUCUGGCSAGCUGCUCUCCGGGGCCUAUGUACGCUCGCCAGAGAAUAUCAAAACUAUUUUUAUUAAUGUCGUCUGAUGUACUAUAUAAUAUUUAAAACUUUCAACAACGGAUCUCUUGGUUCUGGCUAAUCGAUGAAGAACGCAGCGAAAUGCGAUAAGUAAUGUGAAUUGCAGAAUUCAGUGAAUCAUCGAAUCUUUGAACGCACAUUGCGCCCCUUGGUAUUCCGGGGGGCUCGCCUGUUCGAGCGUCAUUUCAACCCUCAAGCUCAGCUUGGUAUUGAGUCCAUGUCAGCAAUGGCUCAGGCUCUAGUAUCAGUGGCGGCGCCGCUGGGUCCUGAACGUAGUAAUAUCUCUCGUCACAGGUUCUCGGUGUGCUUCUGCCAAAACCCAAAUUUUCUAUGGUUGACCUCGGAUCAGGGGUAGGGAUA